rnacentral:misc_RNA from 1 species
GAUGAAGAACGCAGCGAAAUGCGAUAAGUAGUGUGAAUUGCAGAAUUCAGUGAAUCAUCGAAUCUUUGAACGCACAUUGCGCCCUUUGGUAUUCCAAAGGGCAUGCCUGUUCGAGCGUCAUUUGUACCCUCAAGCUUUGCUUGGUGUUGGGCGUCUUGUCUCUAGCUUUGCUGGAGACUCGCCUUAAAGUAAUUGGCAGCCGGCCUACUGGUUUCGGAGCGCAGCACAAGUCGCACUCUCUAUCAGCAAAGGUCUAGCAUCCAUUAAGCCUUUUUUUCAACUUUUGACCUCGGAUCAGGUAGGUAUACCCGCUGAACUUAAGCAUAUCAAUAAGCGGAGGA